rnacentral:rRNA from 1 species
AACGCGAAGAACCUUACCUGGGCUCGAAGCGCAGUGGACCGGGGUAGAAAUAUCCCUUUUCGCAAGAACUGCUGCGGAGGUGCUGCAUGGCUGUCGUCAGCUCGUGUCGUGAGAUGUUGGGUUAAGUCCCGCAACGAGCGCAACCCUUAUCGUUAGUUGCCAACGGGUCAAGCCGGGAACUCUAGCGAAACCGCCUCGGAUAACGGGGAGGAAGGUGGGGAUGACGUCAAGUCCUCAUGGCCUUUAUGUCCAGGGCUACACACGUGCUACAAUGGCCGGUACAAACCGUCGCAAACCCGUGAGGGGGAGCUAAUCGGAAAAAGCCGGCCUCAGUUCGGAUUGGAGUCUGCAAUUCGACUCCAUGAAGCUGGAAUCGCUAGUAAUCGCGGAUCAGAACGCCGCGGUGAAUACGUUCCCGGGCCUUGUACACACCGCGAGC